UACAGAGGGUGCGAGCGUUAAUCGGAAUUACUGGGCGUAAAGCGCGCGUAGGCGGCUUUGCAAGUCGGGUGUGAAAUCCCCAGGCUUAACCUGGGAACUGCAUUCGAGACUGCAUUGCUAGAGUAUGGAAGAGGGAAGUGGAAUUUCCGGUGUAGCGGUGAAAUGCGUAGAUAUCGGAAGGAACAUCAGUGGCGAAAGCGACUUCCUGGACCAAUACUGACGCUCAUGUGCGAAAGCGUGGGGAGCAAACAGG
rnacentral:rRNA from 1 species